GAUGAACGCUAGCUACAGGCUUAACACAUGCAAGUCGAGGGGAAACGACAUCGAAAGCUUGCUUUUGAUGGGCGUCGACCGGCGCACGGGUGAGUAACGCGUAUCCAACCUGCCCACCACUUGGGGAUAACCUUGCGAAAGUAAGACUAAUACCCAAUGACGUCUCUAGAAGACAUCUGAAAGGGAUUAAAGAUUUAUCGGUGAUGGAUGGGGAUGCGUCUGAUUAGCUUGUUGGCGGGGUAACGGCCCACCAAGGCUACGAUCAGUAGGGGUUCUGAGAGGAAGGUCCCCCACAUUGGAACUGAGACACGGUCCAAACUCCUACGGGAGGCAGCAGUGAGGAAUAUUGGUCAAUGGGCGAGAGCCUGAACCAGCCAAGUAGCGUGCAGGAUGACGGCCCUAUGGGUUGUAAACUGCUUUUAUAAGGGAAUAAAGUGAGCCUCGUGAGGCUUUUUGCAUGUACCUUAUGAAUAAGGACCGGCUAAUCCGUG
rnacentral:rRNA from 1 species